rnacentral:rRNA from 1 species
GGGAAAAGGAUUUAUUCGCUUUAGGAUGGACUCGCGUCCAAUUAGCUAGUUGGUGAGGUAACGGCCCACCAAGGCGACGAUUGGUAGCCGGACUGAGAGGUUGAACGGCCACAUUGGGACUGAGACACGGCCCAGACUCCUACGGGAGGCAGCAGUGGGGGAUAUUGCACAAUGGGGGAAACCCUGAUGCAGCGACGCCGCGUGGAGGAAGAAGGUUUUCGGAUUGUAAACUCCUGUCGUUAGGGACGAUAAUGACGGUACCUAACAAGAAAGCACCGGCUAACUACGUGCCAGCAGCCGCGGUAAAACGUAGGGUGCAAGCGUUGUCCGGAAUUACUGGGUGUAAGGGGAGCGCAGGCGGGAAGACAAGUUGGAAGUGAAAACCAUGGGCUCAACCCAUGAAUUGCUUUCAAAACUGUUUUUCUUGAGUAGUGCAGAGGUAGAUGGAAUUCCCGGUGUAGCGGUGGAAUGCGUAGAUAUCGGGAGGAACACCAGUGGCGAAGGCGGUCUACUGGGCACCAACUGACGCUGAGGCUCGAAAGCAUGGGUAGCAAACAGGAUUAGAUACCCUGGUAGUCCAUGCCGUAAACGAUGAUUACUAGGUGUUGGAGGAUUGACCCCCUCAGUG